rnacentral:rRNA from 1 species
GACGAACGCUGGCGGCGUGCCUAAUACAUGCAAGUCGAGCGAAGCGGCGGAUGGGUGCGUAACGCGUGGGUAACCUGCCCUUAAGUCUGGGAUACCAUUUGGAAACAGAUGUUAAUACCGGAUAAUAAAGGAUGACCCUUGGAUGCAUUAGCGAGUUGGUAAGGUAACGGCUUACAAAGGCGAUGAUGCAGAGCCGAGUUGAGAGACUGAUCGGCGACAUUGGGACUGAGACACGGCCCAAACUCCUACGGGAGGCAGCAGUAGGGAAUCUUCCACAAUGGACGAAAGUCUGAUGGAGCAACGCCGCGUGAGUGAAGAAGGUGUUCGGAUCGUAAAGCUCUGUUGUUGGUGAAGCGGUAAUCAACCAGAAAGGCACGGCUAACUACGUGCCAGCCGCCGCGGUAAUAC